AGAAUUGCUUUUAGAAGUAGAAAAGUCGAUUGCAAUUUUGGUUAAAUGCUUUGAGGAGUAUGAUUGUUAGGACUAGUAUUACUUUCAAGGGUUUAUGUUGCAAUUUGGGUUUUGUUUGUCAAGGUUAUUAGUUAAAACGUGUCAUAUUGCACUGGAAUCCUUGGUAAAAUUCAGGAAGAAAUAGCUCUCCUUGUGGAUCUACUAUGAAAGUUCCUUCACAGAUCAAACAUUUUGGAUUAUUUGAUAGGCUUUUUUGUUUGUUCAGUCAAUAUUGUUGGCAUGCGGCAUGCCAAAGAAUGCAAUGGAUGCUCUUAUUUGAAUUUUAUUAACAGAAGAUAAAUUUCUCAUCUGCAUGGUGUAACGGUAAAGUUGCUCCAUUUGUGACCUAGAGGUCAUGGGUUGGAGCCAUGGUAACACCCUCUUUGCAAAGCAAGGGUAAGGCUGUGUAUCAACUCUCCCCUGAGCUCACAAGUGGUAUGCUUCAUGCACUGGG
rnacentral:misc_RNA from 1 species